rnacentral:rRNA from 1 species
CACGGGGGGAGCAAGCGUUGUUCGGAAUCACUGGGCGUAAAGGGCGUGUAGGCGGUUCGGUAAGUGGAAUGUGAAAUCCCUCGGCUCACCCGAGGACCUGCAUCCCAAACUGCCGGACUAGAGUAUGGGAGAGGAUGAGGGAAUUCCUGGUGUAGCGGUGAAAUGCGUAGAUAUCAGGAGGAACACCGGUGGCGAAAGCGCUCAUCUAGCCCAAUACUGACGCUGAGGCGCGAAGGCCAGGGGAGCAAACGGG